rnacentral:rRNA from 1 species
UACGGAGGGCGCAAGCGUUGUUCGGAAUUACUGGGCGUAAAGCGCGUGUAGGCGGUUCAGCAAGUCGGUUGUGAAAGCCCCGGGCUCAACUCGGGAAUUGCGUCCGAAACUGCUGAACUGGAGUCCCGGAGAGGAAGGCAGAAUUCCCAAUGUAGGGGUGAAAUCCGUAGAUAUUGGGAGGAAUACCAGUGGCGAAGGCGGCCUUCGGGACGGUGACUGACGCUGAGACGCGAAAGCGUGGGGAGCAAACAGG